rnacentral:rRNA from 1 species
AUGAAGAAACCUAACCCUCCCCCCUCCAAGCCCUCCGCCUCCGCCAAGCCCGCCGCCGGCAUGGCGCCGCGCAAGUCUCGCUGGGGCCCGCCGCCCGCAGGCGCCGCCGGAGACAAGGCCGCGUCCACCUCCCGCCGCACCCCGACCCCCACCCGUUCCUCCAACGCCAGGCGGCACCCCGCUCCUACCGCCCCCGCCCCGCAAGCCGCGUCCCCGGCGGCCGCCACCCGCCCGCCGCCCCACCAGCAGCCGCGGGUGGAGACGCCUCCCCCGCCGCCCUACGGCUUCCACAACCUCGACCGCCGCACCAUCCACCUGGCCGACGGCACCGUGCGCACCUACUUCGCCCUGCCCCCCGACUACCCGUUCGAGCCCGCCCCCCUGCCCCAGCUCCCGCACUUCCAGCGUGCCGGCCCCGAGGCCUGGCCGCCGCACCAGCCACCGCCGCAGCAGCAGUUCCCGCCGCACGACAAGCGCAGGCACCCCGCCGAUCCCGACGAGGGCUUCUCCAGGCACCCGAAGCAGUCCCGUUUCGAGCCGCCGCCGCAUCAACCGUCGCAGAUGCAGCAGCCCCCGGUGGACCGGCAAGCGCUCAGGAAGGCGUUCCUCAAGUACUCCAAGAUGCUCAACGAGAAUUCCGCCCAGAAGCGGAUCUACCUUGAAGGUGGACGCGUCCAAUGUCUCCCCUGCGGCAGGUCUUCUAAGGACUUUGCUGAUGUGCACGGGCUUGUCAUGCAUGCUUACAACCCACCAAAUGCAGAUUCAUUUGUUGAUCAUCUUGGUUUACACAAGGCAUUGUGUGUCCUUAAGGGAUGGGAUUAUACAAAAGUCCCUGAUAACUCUAAGGCAUACCAGUCAUUACCUCCUGACCUUGUUCGAGCAAAUAGGGAGGACCUUAUUAUAUGGCCUCCAACUGUUAUCAUUCGUAACACUACCACUGGGAGGAAGAAAGAUGGACGCUCUGAGGGUCUGGGAAACAAAGAAAUGGAUAAGAAAAUUGCAGAACUAGGGUUUGCUGGUGGCAAGUCGAAGUCCUUGUAUGGAAAGGAAGGGCAUCUGGGUCUGACACUUAUCAAGUUCGCGAACAACCCAUCUGGCUUGAAGGAGGCUGAGCGCCUUGCUGAGUUUUUUGAGAGGCAAGAUCAUGGACGUGUAGGUUGGUCACGUGCACAGGCUACUCACAACUUAGACCCUGAUACAAACCCUAUGCUGGUUGAGACUGAUAGCAGGGGUGAGAAAAAGAGAAUACUUUAUGGGUGCCUAGCAAUUUCCUCUGAUCUGGAUGAAUUAGACUCAGAUUCAAGAAAAAGGGCUACUGUCAAGAGCAUAAAAGAAUUUGACCCAUCUGACUAG